UACGUAGGGUGCGAGCGUUGUCCGGAAUUAUUGGGCGUAAAGAGCUUGUAGGUGGCUCGUUGCGUCGGGAGUGAAAACCUGCGGCUUAACCGCAGGCCUGCUUCCGAUACGGGCGAGCUAGAGUUCGGCAGGGGAGACUGGAAUUCCUGGUGUAGCGGUGGAAUGCGCAGAUAUCAGGAAGAACACCCGUGGCUAAGGCGGCUCUCUAGUACGGUACUGACGCUGAGACGCGAAAGCGUGGGGAGCGAACAGG
rnacentral:rRNA from 1 species